rfam:Veillonella sp. CAG:933 genomic scaffold, scf199
AUCCCCCUGCUGUGUGCGUGUGGUAUCGUAGUUUUGAGCCAACACUAUUACAUCGGGAGCCUGGACUCUUGUAUUGGCACUAUGCCUGAUGAAGGACAGUAAGAUUACGAGGAGGGCACCCACCUGCUAUCGCAGGAUCAAAACACGGUACAUAUACGGCAUGGUGGGGCUCUU